ACCCCGUGAACCUUUACUGUAGCUUUGCAUUGGACUUUGAACAGGCUUGUGUAGGAUAGGUGGGAGGCUUUGAAGCUGAGACGCUAGUUUCAGUGGAGCCGUCCUUGAAAUACCACCCUGGUGUGUUUGAGGUUCUAACCUGGGUCCAUUAUCUGGAUCGGGGACCGUGCAUGGUAGGCAGUUUGACUGGGGCGGUCUCCUCCCAAAGUGUAACGGAGGAGUUCGAAGGUUACCUAGGUACGGUCGGACAUCGUACUGAUAGUGCAAUGGCAAAAGGUAGCUUGACUGCGAGACCGAC
rnacentral:rRNA from 1 species